CUCCAUGCUGUUUAGCAGUAAAAUAAAACUAAAAAUCUGAAUAGAAUGAUUAUGGGAGCUCAAAUAGAAUUGAGAAACCUGUGCCAAGUUUGUGAAAUGUCUGUGCCUGAGGCUGAGCAGCAUUUAUCAUAUUUGAGGCCUGAAGCAGCCGUCAUAACACCACAAGUUAUUGCUGGUAAUAAGCUGUCAUCAGCAACAAUCUCAGCAUCAUCACUUGGAUAAGCAUCAUCCCGUUUGAUUGGAGAAAACUACC